GUGGGGGUGGGCAAGGCAAGUAAAGAGAAAUAAAGGAGGCCGCCACAUGGCGCAGGGAGUGAGAGGAACAGUUUCAGCAAACAGACAGGAGUUAUUUGAGAAGGGUGAUAGCAAGAUGAAGCAAAAGACACUUCAAAACAUGCAAGCAACCAAACAAAUAGAAAAAAAUCGGCAGAAAAGGAGUGAUGGACAAACGUAUAGAAGAGAUUGACACUUCUGUUUCUGUGACUGUUUUGAACAAUGCAUUUGAUGAUACCAUCCAUUCAUCAUUUCACACUGACAAACUGCUUCACAGCUGAUCAAAACCGAAGACUUAAGCAUUUUUCUGUUUUCUUUUUGACUGACUUAGUGGCCAGAGCUAAACCUCUGAAGGAAAGAGGUAAUCAUCAUGUUUUCAUCCAUGUUAAAUAUUGUGCCUUAAGCCAUCGACAAGUCAUAUACACGAAUAAUUUGGUGGGGGGAGGUUCUUAUACCACUCUUAACACACAAGUAAUAUAUCAACAUAUAGGAGCUUCACAAUCCUAGUUCAGCAAUGAAAGGGAGCCCAUGUGCACAGCCUCAGAUGUUGGAUAUGGUAACCACUCACAGAGCACCACCUUGUCCAUGUGGUUUCUGAUCCAGAAGAUGUUCUGUACAUGAAGCUUGUUUCCAUGUGCCCUUGGAAGAUCAAUGGCUGACAUCUCAACUAAUGAAGCAUGUACCGUACUAAACAGCUUCACACACAGAGUGAGAUCACCCCUGCAGCUUCAUGUCUCCCCUUACGCAUGUAUUUUUGCACAACAAAGCAAACUGGUACUUCUCUUGAAGCAUUCUCCUGCACUCUCAAAGCCUUCUGUCAUAGCAGAAAUGCAUUGCUGAGGGCAGUAAAGUGUUUUCUGUGACAAAGGGCUUUGGGAAAGUGGGCACUCUGGGGAAAGUGCCCACUCACUCCAUUGCACAAAAACGUGUGUAAGGGAACACAUGGAGUUGCAGGGAUGAUCCCACUGCGUGUGAAGCUGCUGUUCAUUUACAUGCUUUGUUAGGAAGUUAGCCAAUGCCUUUUGUGAAAAUUUACUCUUUUAAGGCCAUAAAUACAUUAAAAUUAUACCAAAGAAGUAUUUUGGAGUUGAAAGCUUUGAAACCUAUUACAUUUUCCUUUGUGGAAUGUAUUGCCUGAUUCAUUCCACAGUAGCCCAAAGUUAGUGACCAAAUACAUUGGCAUAAGAAGUUUAUUGAGAUUUUGUGAAAAUAUUCUAAGAUCGUGUUUCCUUUAUGGAUCAAAAAAUAUUUCAUGAAAUCCUUGUUUAUAUAUACAAAUUAGUUGAUAUUGUGUUCAUGACGUGACCCUUGGUGAUCAAAGUGUAUUGAUUUAAAUCACCAAGAAAGCAUUUCAGUUUGGCACGUCAAAACACUUGCAUGUGUAAGUCAGGAGGUAAAUUCAGUCCCAGUUUUAUAACUGGGAUUGUUCAGAAAUUCUGGCUGGAACAAACUGGGAUUUGCUGAGUUCAGAGAUCACAGGUUCUACAAAAACCUGUACAAAGAGGACAACAAGUUUACAACUUCCUCCACUCACACCAUAGGAGGUUCACAAGCCUGAGGCUUAAGAGCAGCCUGAGAAACCAUGAUUGUUUAAACUGGGCCAGCAUGUCAUAUUUGUGAAACUUGACUUGAAAAGUCUGAUGUUCUUCAGAAUAAGCGAGCAGGAACUAGAUCAGACUAUGUUAAUCAGAAACAGUUUGAAUUUUUUAUUAUUGUUAUUGUUGAUGCAAAUUUUAUAGUUGUGUGCCAUUUGGCUGCAAAGUCAAAAAGUGGCAUAUGGACAUUUAAAUAAAACUAGAAGGUGGUAUGUUUUGCCCCA